rnacentral:ncRNA from 1 species
AAUGUACAAAGGCAAACCAAUCGAAAGGUUGGGACGCAAAGCUUCCGGUCUAAGGGGAUAGUGUUUGAGAGGGUCGCACUCUUAACGUUAUUUUGGUACCUAUGAUAGCGGGGAUGUUACA